UAGGGAAGUCUUCCACAAUGGGCGGAAAGCCUGAUGGAGCAACGCCGCGUGUGUGAUGAAGGGUUUCGGCUCGUAAAACACUGUUGUAAGAGAAGAAUGACAUUGAGAGUAACUGUUCAAUGUGUGACGGUAUCUUACCAGAAAGGAACGGCUAAAUACGUGCAAG
rnacentral:rRNA from 1 species